ACGGGUGAGUAAUGCUUUGGAAUCUUCCCAGUAGUGGGGAAUAACCAGUCGAAAGAUUGGCUAAUACCGCAUACGUCCGAGAGGGGAAAGCGGGGGCUCGUAAGACCUCGCGCUAUUGGAUGAGCCAAAGUCGGAUUAGCUAGUUGGUGGGGUAAUGGCCUACCAAGGCGACAAUCCGUAGCUGGUCUGAGAGGACGACCAGCCACACCGGAACUGAGACACGGUCCGGACUCCUACGGGAGGCAGCAGUGGGGAAUAUUGGACAAUGGGGGAAACCCUGAUCCAGCGACGCCGCGUGUGUGAAGAAGGCCUGCGGGUUGUAAAGCACUUUUAGUGGGGACAAAAAGCCAUGAACCAAUACUUCGUGGUCUUGAUUUAACCCAAAGAAAAAGCACCGGCUAACUCUGUGCCAGCAGCCGCGG
rnacentral:rRNA from 1 species